rnacentral:tRNA from 1 species
AUUUAAGUAGUUUAAUUAAAAUAUUGAAUUGUGGAUUCAAAGAUAUUAUUUAAUCUUAAAUU